rnacentral:rRNA from 1 species
AGUAACGGCGAGUGAAGCGGCAGCAGCCCAGAUUUGGAAUCCGGCCCCCCUGCGGGGCCCGAGUUGUAAUCUGCAGAGGAAGCGUCUGGCGCGGCGCCGGCCUAGUUCCCUGGAACGGGACGCCGUAGAGGGUGACAGCCCCGUACGGUCGGCCGCCAAGCCUGUGUGUCGCUCCUUCGAGGAGUCGCGUAGUUUGGGAAUGCUGCGCAAAGCGGGAGGUAUGCUCCUCCUAAGGCUAAAUACUGGCCAGAGACCGAUAGCGCACAAGUAGAGUGAUCGAAAGAUGAAAAGCACCUUGAAAAUGGGGUUAAACAGUACGUGAAAUUGCCAAAGGGGAAGCGCUCGUGGCCAGACUCGGGCCAGGCGGAUCAUCCGGCAUCCCCGCCGGUGCACUCCGCCGGGCCCGGGCCAGCGUCGGUCGGCGCCGGUGCUGAAAGGCGGCGUGAACGUAGCUCCCCCCGGGGAGUGUUAUAGCACGCCGCGUAAUGCGCUGGCGCCGUCCGAGGACCGCGCUCUUGCAAGGACGCUGGCGUAAUGGCCACUAGCGGCCCGUCUUGAAACACGGACCAAGGAGUCGCCCAGAGGCGCGAGUGUGCGGGUGACAAACCCCUGCGCGUAGUGAAAGCGAACGCUGGUGGGAGCCCCUUGCGGGCGCACCACCGACCGAUCCUGAUGUCUUCGGAUGGAUUUGAGUAGGAGCGUCUCUGGUCGGACCCGAAAGAGGGUGAACUAUGCUUGGGUAGGGUGAAGCCAGAGGAAACUCUGGUGGAGGCCCCGUUUGGGUUCUGACGUGCAAAUCGAUCCAUAAACCUGGGCAUAGCGGCGAAAG